GGUACAAGGGAAGUUGCUUCCUGUUGACAAGCGGCAAACGGGUGAGUAACGCGUAGGAAUUUCUUUAAGUAGAGGAUAGCUUUUCGAAAGAAUUGGUAAUACUUUAUGUGAUCGCAAGAUUAAAGCAGCAAUGCGCUUAAAGUGAAGCCUGCGUUCUAUCAGCUUGUUGGUGAGGUAAUGGCUCACCAAGGCUUAGACGGAUAACUGGUCUGAGAGGAUGAUCAGUCACACUGGAACUGCGACACGGUCCAGACACCUACGGGUGGCAGCAGUGGGGAAUAUUCGGCAAUGGGGGAAACCCUGACCGAGCCAUACCGCGUGGAGGAUGACGGCCCUAUGGGUUGUAAACUCCUGUGGAGAGCUACUAACACAAUGAAGGGCUCUCUAGAAAGAGGUUGCUACCUCUGUGCCAGCAGCAGCGGUAAUACAGAGACCUCAAGCGUUAUCCGGAAUUAUUGGGCGUAAAGCGCUCCGAUCGG
rnacentral:rRNA from 1 species